rnacentral:rRNA from 1 species
GAUGAACGCUGGCGGCGUGCCUAAUACAUGCAAGUCGAGCGAACAGACGAGGAGCUUGCUCCUCUGACGUUAGCGGCGGACGGGUGAGUAACACGUGGAUAACCUACCUAUAAGACUGGGAUAACUUCGGGAAACCGGAGCUAAUACCGGAUAAUAUAUUGAACCGCAUGGUUCAAUAGUGAAAGACGGUUUUGCUUUCACUUAUAGAUGGAUCCGCGCCGCAUUAGCUAGUUGGUAAGGUAACGGCUUACCAAGGCAACGAUGCGUAGCCGACCUGAGAGGGUGAUCGGCCACACUGGAACUGAGACACGGUCCAGACUCCUACGGGAGGCAGCAGUAGGGAAUCUUCCGCAGUGGGCGAAAGCCUGACGGAGCAACGCCGCGUGAGUGAUGAGGUCUUCGGAUCGUAAAACUCUGUUAUUAGGGAAGAACAAAUGUGUAAGUAACUAUGCACGUCUUGACGGUACCUAAUCAGAAAGCCACGGCUAACUACGUG